rnacentral:sRNA from 14 species
AAAACAUGGUAUGAUCUAGUUCUGUCACUCCACUGACUGCCACUGACCUGGCUGAUACGGCUGGUUAGAUGGAAUCCCCUUUCUCCUCCAUGCUUUGUGACCGUCCCUUCAAAAGCUGCAUGCUUAGAACAAGAGAACGGUCUCUGGUACGGAAGACCAUUCUUCUUGAUCUGCAAUCAUCCUAGAACCUUCAGAGCUGUUGUCAAGAAGGUAUCU